rnacentral:rRNA from 1 species
UACGGGGGGAGCAAGCGUUGUUCGGAUUUACUGGGCGUAAAGGGCGCGUAGGCGGUAGCACAAGUCAGUUGUGAAAUCUCCGGGCUUAACUCGGAAAGGUCAACUGAUACUGUGCGACUAGAGUGCAGAAGGGGCAACUGGAGUUCUCGGUGUAGCGGUGAAAUGCGUAGAUAUCGAGAGGAACACCUGCGGCGAAGGCGGGUUGCUGGGCUGACACUGACGCUGAGGCGCGAAAGCCAGGGGAGCGAACGGG